UGACAAGAGUGUGGAUUACUGGCAGCAAGAUAAGUGGAGUGGGCAGUUCCCUGUGAAGUGGCAUAUUAUUAAAGAUGUCCCAAACAGUCAGUUCCGUCACAUUGUGUUGGAAAAUAAUGACAACAAACCUGUCACUAACAGUCGAGACACGCAGGAGGUAGGAAUUCCUUUCUGAGUAUAAGUGAUGGCAAUUACUUAUAUUUUUGUUGAUUUAGGGAUGACCUGGUAUUAAAUUGGCACACAUUUUUCGUAUCUUUACAGCAAUCCACCUAAAAAUAUAGCCCAUACUCCCCUUCAGGUUUCUUAAGCUUAUUGAAUACUCUCUCUACUUCUCUGAAAAAUCUCCUAAUCCAAAAGUUUUUCUCACUUUUUGUUUUUCACAUGUAAUCAUACUGUGUUUUUUACCAAUUUAUGCUAGAUAUUUAGAUUUUGUUUUUGCACAGAUAGAUAAUGUGCUUUUUGGCUGGAUGAACUUGCUUCAUGUAAUAGUUCUCAAUAAGAAUUUUCUUUCUUCUGCUUGUUUACGCCAAAAUAUCAAAUAUACAAUGUUGCAGGUGAAAUUGGAGCAGGGUGUUGAGAUGUUGAACAUUUUCAAGAACUAUGAAGCUGACAUGUCGAUCCUGGAUGAUUUUGACUUUUAUGAAGACAGACAGAAGGCUAUGCAAGAACGAAAGGCUAGACAGCAAGUGAGUCCAAUGGCUGCUGGUGUAGUUGGAGCAAAUGAGCACAGAAAUGCCAUUGCAUUAUCCAGUGAUUUAAUCAAGCAGAUGUCCAAGAGUUUUGCUCAAGUUGUCUGCUUGGAAGGGUCUAGCAAAGAAGGCCCUGUUACUGAUAAAGCCAGCUGUGUCUCAGAUAGCUCCAACAGAGUUAAGGCAGAAGAUGCAAUACCAGGCGUUUCUUCUACCAAGACAGGUUAGGAAGACAUCAAUAGGGUGAGAUUUGAGGGGGGCCCUGUUCUGACGGAUUGCGUUGGUGUAUCUGUACAUGAAUGAAAGGUGUUAUGAGUUGUAUGGGGCCGGUGUGGGGCCGAUGUGCUUCAUGUAUGAUAUGUGGGUUGAGAGUGUUGCAUUUUACCUGUAGUAAUGAGUUUUCUUGUUUGUUUCAUUGUCAUUGUCUUUGGUUUUUUGGGAAGAGUAGCGAUGGUAAUAUACUGGCUGAGAUCUUGCGUUUGUAAAACUAGCUCAACUUUUUAGCUUCAGGCAGUUGAAUGAAAGAAUACAACCGACAAAAGAUGUUGAAGCGCA
rnacentral:misc_RNA from 1 species